UCAUCAUCAAAUCUUAAAUGACGAUUUUAGCUUACUUUUAGAACAUUUUUAUACGUUAGGAUCUUCUGGGCGCUUGACAUUUUAAAAUAGCCGCCAAGCGGCGCGCAGAUAGAAAACGCUUAUUGAAAAUAGAAGCAUACAAGCUUCAAACGAACCUAGAUCUACCGGUAACCUUGACCCAAACCAAAACACGGAAGUAUGGCAAAAUAUCUUGCUUUUGUGGAAAUCUUCAGCAUCAGUAUCAAAUUAUUGACAAGUACCACAUGUGGAGGGCUGACGGAAAUGUAAAUGGAGGUGGACUCAUUGCAUACUUGAGAUCAGAUAUUGCAGGUGAAAGGAAACAUACUUUAGAAUUUAAGGAAAUAGAAUCUGUCUGUGUAGAGAUACACCAACACUGCUGAAAUCCCACAGGUAAGAAGCACAAGGUAUGGUCUCAAAUCUUUCCGUUCCGCGGCACCCAGACUCUGGAACUCAUUACCCCAACAUUUCAGAGAUGUUACGGGACUAAAUCAGUUCCGGAGUCUGAUUAGCUCGUGGGACGGGCAGAGUUGUAGAUGCUCUUGUUGCUCGAAUUAAAUUAUUUUUUGUUAUUUUUCAGUUUUGUUUUUCUUGCCCUCUGUCAACCAAUAUGUUUUUUUGUUUUUGUUUUUUUUUCUAGUGUGUUUGCUUAGUAUUAUGCAUGUGCUGUUUGCUUUGUUCUUGUUCCUCUCAUAUAAUUUCUGUUAUGUUCACUCCUGCUUUUUCCGCCCUCUGUCAAACAUGUUGGGUUUAGUUUACACAGUAUUAUUCAUGUGCUGAUUGCUUGUAUUUAAUUAUGCAUGUUUUAGUUGCUCAGUGCUUUGCUUUAUUUUUAGUCUGUAGCAUGUUUUGUCUGCUCUUAAAUAGAAAGUUUCUUUUAUUGACUUCUGAAAUACAGCUGUUAAUCAGUCCAUAACAAAUCUGAUUUGAUGUGGUAAAUGUCUUAAACCAUUUUCUAAAAACGCAUUAGUGUUCUUUUUCAGUUCAGUGUUUUACCAUCUAUUUGCUUUUAACUAGCUUUUAGGCCUAAGCCAAGAUUAACAGAUUCAGGUUUAACCAAUUUGUAUGUAUAACUCAUGUACUAUUUAUAAACUUGAUUUGCUAAUGUUGUGACUCUUUUAAUAGGGACAUUUUUAUUAUGGUAUUAAAUAUACUAUUUGUUAUUUAUGUCGGUCAAUAGCUAUACAUAGCUAAUGUUGUCUGUAUAUAUAACACCGACUUUAAAUAAAAUUUGUAUCUUGU
rnacentral:lncRNA from 1 species